rnacentral:rRNA from 1 species
CAACUUUUAACGGUGGAUCUCUUGGCUCGUGCAUCGAUGAAGAACGCAGCGAAAUGCGAUACGUAACGUGAACCGCAGACCUUCGUGAAUCAUCGAAUCUUUGAACGCAAAUGGCGGU